rnacentral:rRNA from 1 species
ACGAACGCUGGCGGCGUGCCUAAUACAUGCAAGUAGAACGCUGAAGGAGGAGCUUGCUCUUCUGGAUGAGUUGCGAACGGGUGAGUAACGCGUAGGUAACCUGCCUGGUAGCGGGGGAUAACUAUUGGAAACGAUAGCUAAUACCGCAUAACAGUAGAUGUUGCAUGACAUUUACUUAAAAGGUGCAAUUGCAUCACUACCAGAUGGACCUGCGUUGUAUUAGCUAGUUGGUGGGGUAACGGCUCACCAAGGCGACGAUACAUAGCCGACCUGAGAGGGUGAUCGGCCACACUGGGACUGAGACACGGCCCAGACUCCUACGGGAGGCAGCAGUAGGGAAUCUUCGGCAAUGGACGGAAGUCUGACCGAGCAACGCCGCGGGAGUGAAGAAGGGUUUCGGAUCGUAAAGCUCUGUUGUAAGAGAAGAACGAGUGUGAGAGUGGAAAGUUCACACUGUGACGGUAGCUUACCAGAAAGGGACGGCUAACUACAUG